rnacentral:rRNA from 1 species
UAAAGCUCUUUUACCCGGGAUGAUAAUGACAGUACCGGGAGAAUAAGCCCCGGCUAACUCCGUGCCAGCAGCCGCGGUAAUACGGAGGGGGCUAGCGUUGUUCGGAAUUACUGGGCGUAAAGCGCACGUAGGCGGCUUUGCAAGUCAGAGGUGAAAGCCCGGGGCUCAACCCCGGAAUAGCCUUUGAGACUGCAUCGCUUGAACAUCGGAGAGGUAAGUGGAAUUCCGAGUGUAGAGGUGAAAUUCGUAGAUAUUGGGAAGAACACCGGUGGCGAAGGCGGCUCACUGGCCCGUUUCUGACGCUCAUGCACGAUAGCGUGGGGAUCAAACAGGAUUAGAUACCCUGGUAGUCCACGCUGUAAACUAUGGACGCUAGCCGUUGGGUAGCUUGCUAUUCAGUGGCGCAGCUAACGCAUUAAGCGUCCCGCCUGGGGAGUACGGCCGCAAGGUUGAAACUCAAAGGAAUUGACGGGGGCCUGCACAAGCGGUGGAGCAUGUGGUUU